rnacentral:rRNA from 1 species
GUGGGGAAUCUUGCGCAAUGGGCGAAAGCCUGACGCAGCCAUGCCGCGUGAAUGAUGAAGGUCUUAGGAUUGUAAAAUUCUUUCACCGGGGACGAUAAUGACGGUACCCGGAGAAGAAGCUCCGGCUAACUUCGUGCCAGCAGCCGCGGUAAUACGAAGGGGGCCAGCGUUGCUCGGAAUUACUGGGCGUAAAGGGCGCGUAGGCGGACAGCUUAGUCAGAGGUGAAAGCCCAGGGCUCAACCUUGGAAUUGCCUUUGAUACUGGCUGUCUUGAGUUUGGGAGAGGUGAGUGGAACUCCGAGUGUAGAGGUGAAAUUCGUAGAUAUUCGGAAGAACACCAGUGGCGAAGGCGACUCACUGGCCCAAUACUGACGCUGAGGCGCGAAAGCGUGGGGAGCAAACAGGAUUAGAAACCCGGGUAGUCC